ensembl:lncRNA
AGCUUCUGGAAGGUGAUUGGAUCAUGGGGCGCUCUACUCAUUAGUGGAUUCAUCCAUUGAUAUAUUCGUGGCUGAAGGCACUGUUUGGAGGUGGAGCCUAGUUGGAGGUGGGUCACGGAGGGGCACCACCUGAAGGGUGUAUUCUUCUCCCUUCUCUCUCUGCUUCUUGUCUGUCAUGGGAUGAUAAACUUUCUUCUACCAUGCCCUUCCACAGUGCCAUUUCUGCCUUGGAGCUAGCCAACCAUGGACUGAAUUUGCUGAACUGUGAGUCAAAUUAAACAUUUUCUCCUUAUAAGUGCCAGGUAUUGGGUCCAGCAUCGGGAAAACUGACCAAUACAAAUGCCAUCUUCCUGAAGAAGUCUCUCCUGGUGCCUUCUGACUCCUCCCAUCUGCAGUGGCUGCCUGCUAUGACUGGCACUCGGUUGCCAGGCUAGAUUCUUCCUUCACCAUUGCCCUGUGGAUUCUUUUCACCUCUUUUCUCUGUGUUGGACUUUAUAUUUUUCCUGCCUCAUGUGUCUUCCUCUUUUUAUUUUCCUUCCUGUUUCAUAAGAACAAAACUUUCUUUCAUGAGAACUGGCAUACAGUAGCUAAAUUUUCUGAAGUCUCUCAUGAAAAUGUUUUUAUACCCUGAUACUUGGCUAGUAGUUUGGUCAAUAAUCAAGUUCUUGGUUGGAAACAAUCCUUCAGUGUUUGGAAGACACUACUCCAUUUUCAACUUCCUGUGUUAAUACUGACAAGCUGGAAACCAUUCUGAUUCCUGACCUCUGGACUAGGUCACAUUCAGUUUGAAAAUACAUGUUCUUCAACUCCGAAUGGCCAGAUUUCCCAGAGAAGACUCUUCUGUUCUCCUACCUAGACAAGAGACUAGAUGCCAAUUCAGGAAGAUAGCAGGGCCGUAUGCAUCAAAUAUGUGUUCAUUUAUUUCCUCCCUCUAACUUGCUAUUAAAAUUGUCAAACACAGAAAAUCAGAAAGAAUAGUCCAGUGGCUACCUGUAUACCCUUCAUCUAGAUUAACAAUAAUUUAAUUUGCCAUAUUUGUCCUUUUCCUUUUUCCCUCUGAAACUUUGAAAGUAAGAUGAUACCACAUAUUUCAGCAUACAUCUCAUCAAAUUAAGGACAUUUCCUACAUAACCAUAUGUCAUAUCUAAGAAAAAUAACAAUAAUUUUAUCAUUUAAUAUUCUUAUUUAAAUUUCCCCAAUUGUCAUAAAAAUGUUGCUGUAUUUUGGAUGGUACGCCUGCCUUAAACUAUAUACUUAGUGUCCCUUAGUUCAAGCUUUACCUUUAUUCUUCCUUGACAAAAAAAUCCAUAAACUUUUGCUAGGGUGGAGAAAGGCAAUCACUCAAUCAUGUAGACUGGGGGAGGAUAUCUAUUCCUUAAUCUGCAAUCCUCUCCUACUAGCACCAUACGUACAUUUAAACUUACUGCCGGCUGUAUUUGCUGCUGCUAGCUGCUGAAUGAGCUUUUUGGGGGAUUCUGUGACACGUAUAGGGUCAUAUUUGCCCUUUCCUCUUGCUAAAUUAGGGUCAGUUUGCUCAUUUCUGCUGUACUGAUGACUAUACCACUUACUGUGCAAACAGAACACAUUUGAGAGUAAAAGUUAACACUAUUAUUAUGACAGGAUUAUUACUAGGGGCAAGCCAGGCUUGCCAGACUAACACAUGGUCACUUUAGGAAGUCAUUUCUUACCUGAUUUCAGCUUGACAGCUUUGUUCUUAUGGCCCCCUCACCUGAUCUUUCAUCCUUGAACUAUUCUGUAUUAAGAAGCAAAAAACAAAACCCUUUCCCAUUGUUUUAUUGUUUAUUUAUAUGGAGAGGCAUGUGUUCAAUGACUAUAUCAUCUUUAUCUCAAUUUAAUUAUCUUUCACGCUGAUCACUUUGUACUUGGACAUUUUGUUAUUUUAAUAUUGAGUGCCUUGCUUCACUUCUGAUGGCAUCUCUAGGACUUUCCUUGACCUAAAGUGAAGUCUUUUAUGUAAAUGUUCAAUAAAUAUCUGUUUUUUUGAAUAAAGCUCACCAUCUUUGUUUAUUUUAAACAUAGAAUAUCAAAUAAUUGUCAGCCAGACCAAAAUCAGAAGGCAUAUGAUACAGACUGUAAAAGUAGUUUUGAAUUAGAUUGUAGAGUAAACUAUUCUAUAUGCCUGAGAUACCUUUGUCUCAAAUCUCAUUGAAAAACCUAUUCUUUCAAGGCCCACCUCAAAUAUACCUUCACUUUUAAAUCUUCCUUGAUAAUAUUCUAGAAAAUGUUUUCCUAUUUCCUAAAAUUUUUUUCCUAUUUCUAUUCUAGAAAAUUUUUAGAGGAACUCUAAAAUUCUAUGAUAUCCACUAAUUGUAUCAUUUUUCAUUUAUUGCACAUGUCAUAAAUAUCUCAUUUCUCCUAGUGUGUGGCUUUCAAAUUAUUUUGAGUGCAACCUACAUUUAGACACGUAUUUUACAUUGCAACCCAGUUGUAAGGACAUAUAUAACAGAACACACAUACACACAAAUUGCUAAAAUAAGUGUGUCAGAAAAGUACAUCUCUUUACUGUAACUCAUAGAUUUAUUAUAUUUUACUUUUAAAAAAUUGCUUCUGCUCUACCUCAGAUCAAGAGAUGGGUAGAGGGGUUAGGGAGGGAAAGGAAAGGGGAUGAACAAAAGAAUUAAGAUGUACUGUAUCCAUGUACCAACUCCCCACAAGGAAUGUAAACAUUAUGUACUAUAAACAUGUACUAAUAAAUAAAUUUAAAAACUAAUCUCUUGUCCCUUUAGUAAAUUGUGAUCCACAGUUUGAAAAAUACUGCUCUUGUGCAGAACUUCUUAAUCUGGGAUCUAUGUAUAUAAUUUACUGGCCUG